ACACAUGCAAGUCGAACGAGAGAGAGGAAGCUUGCUUCCUCAAUCGAGUGGCGAACGGGUGAGUAACGCGUGAGGAACCUGCCUCAAAGAGGGGGACAACAGUUGGAAACGACUGCUAAUACCGCAUAAGCCCACAGGUCGGCAUCGACCAGAGGGAAAAGGAGCAAUCCGCUUUGAGAUGGCCUCGCGUCCGAUUAGCUAGUUGGUGAGGUAAUGGCCCACCAAGGCAACGAUCGGUAGCCGGACUGAGAGGUUGAACGGCCACAUUGGGACUGAGACACGGCCCAGACUCCUACGGGAGGCAGCAGUGGGGAAUAUUGCACAAUGGGGGAAACCCUGAUGCAGCAACGCCGCGUGGAGGAAGAAGGUCUUCGGAUUGUAAACUCCUGUUGUUGAGGAAGAUAAUGACGGUACUCAACAAGGAAGUGACGGCUAACUACGUGCCAGCAGCCGCGGUAAAACGUAGGUCACAAGCGUUGUCCGGAAUUACUGGGUGUAAAGGGAGCGCAGGCGGGAAGACAAGUUGGAAGUGAAAUCUAUGGGCUCAACCCAUAAACUGCUUUCAAAACUGUUUUUCUUGAGUAGUGCAGAGGUAGGCGGAAUUCCCGGUGUAGCGGUGGAAUGCGUAGAUAUCGGGAGGAACACCAGUGGCGAAGGCGGCCUACUGGGCACCAACUGACGCUGAGGCUCGAAAGUGUGGGUAGCAAACAGGAUUAGAUACCCUGGUAGUCCACACCGUAAACGAUGAUUACUAGGUGUUGGAGGAUUGACCCCUUCAGUGCCGCAGUUAACACAAUAAGUAAUCCACCUGGGG
rnacentral:rRNA from 1 species